GGAUAUGACGUACAAGGUUGUACGAUCUGAUUGCAAAUCAUAUUAAAGAGGUUCGAUUCCUCCAUAUCUC
rnacentral:tRNA from 1 species